rnacentral:rRNA from 1 species
UACAGGAGGGUGCGAGCGUUGUCCGGAAUCACUGGGCGUAAAGGGCGCGUAGGUGGCGCUCCAAGGUCAUGUCGGGUGAAAGCUCGACGCUCAACGUCGAGUCGGCCAUAGAGACUGGAGGGCUCGAGCACUGUAGGGGCAGAUGGAAUUCCGGGUGGUAGCGGUGGAAUGCGUAGAGAGUCCGGAAGAACACCGGUGGCGAAGGCGGUCUGC